rnacentral:rRNA from 1 species
CCUACGGGAGGCAGCAGUGGGGAAUAUUGCACAAUGGGGGAAACCCUGAUGCAGCGACGCCGCGUGAGUGAAGAAGUAAUUCGUUAUGUAAAGCUCUAUCAGCAGGGAAGAAAAUGACGGUACCUGAGUAAGAAGCCCCGGCUAACUACGUGCCAGCAGCCGCGGUAAUACGUAGGGGGCAAGCGUUAUCCGGAUUUACGGGGUGUUAAGGGAGCGUAGACGGCAUGGCAAGUCUGGAGUGAAAGGGGGGGGCUCAACCCCCGGAGUGCUCUGGAAACUGGACGGCUGGAGUGCAGGAGAGGUAAGUGGAAUUCCUAGUGUAGCGGUGAAAUGCGUAGAUAUUAGGAGGAACACCAGUUGCGAAGGCGGCUUACUGGACUGUAACUGACGUUGAGGCUCGAAAGCGUGGGGAGCAAACAGGAUUAGAUACCCGGGUAGUC